GAGCAGAAGCUGGAGCCCCCGGAACGCGCCUGUGCCAUCCGCGGCGCGCUGGCCCGGCGCCUUUAAGAAGCCGCGUCAUGAAGUCAUUUCUCCGCGACGCCCCCGCACCGUCGCUCCCCGCCGUCUCCCCUCCGCUGCUGGAGGCGGCCAAUCAGAAGCCUCCUUCCUCCGCCCUCCUGACCAGCUCCGGCUGGGUGCAGCAGAAGGUGUAUACGCAUGAGAUAGGUCGCUGCCGCGAUGGAGGGAUGUGCGGGCGGGUUAGGAUUCUGUGGUUAAGCCUGUGGCCUCUGGAGCCGCGAGUUUGAAUCCUGGUUGCAGCUCUUCCACUUACUAGCUGUGUGGCCAUGGAUGGAGUUUCACUCGUUUUCUACGCUAGAGUGCAAUGGUGCAAUUUCAGCUCGCCACAACCUUGGCUCACUGCAACCUCCACCUCCGGGAUUCAAGCGAUUCUCCUGCCUCAGCCUCCCGAGUAGCUGGGAUUACAGGCAUGCACCACCACGCCCCGCUAAUUUUGUAUUUUGGUAAAGAUGGGGUUUCGCCACGUUGGUCAGGCUGGUCUCGAACUCCCAACCUCAGGUGAUCUGCCUGCCUCAGCCUCCCAAAGGCCUGGGAUUACAGGCGUGAGCCACUGCACCCACCCGACAGUUGGAUUUUUAAAUUAAUAUUUAGGUGUUCUUUAUUUUAAAUAUAUAAUAAUAUAUAAAUAAAGACAGAUUUCUUCUCCCA